ACACUCCUGCGGGAGGCAGCAGUGGGGAAUUUUGGACAAUGGGCGAAAGCCUGAUCCAGCAAUGCCGCGUGUGUGAAGAAGGCCUUCGGGUUGUAAAGUACUUUUGUCCGGAAAGAAAUCCUUGGCUCUAAUACAGUCGGGGGAUGACGGUACCGGAAGAAUAAGCACCGGCUAACUACGUGCCAGCAGCCGCGGUAAUACGUAGGGUGCGAGCGUUAAUCGGAAUUACUGGGCGUAAAGCGUGCGCAGGCGGUUUGCUAAGACCGAUGUGAAAUCCCCGGGCUCAACCUGGGAACUGCAUUGGUGACUGGCAGGCUAGAGUAUGGCAGAGGGGGGUAGAAUUCCACGUGUAGCAGUGAAAUGCGUAGAGAUGUGGAGGAAUACCGAUGGCGAAGGCAGCCCCCUGGGCCAAUACUGACGCUCAUGCACGAAAGCGUGGGGAGCAAACAGGAUUAGAUACCCCAGUAGUCCCA
rnacentral:rRNA from 1 species